GAGCUCUCCCAAAGGAUGGACAGCGCGGACUUUAGCGGUGUGCAGCGACUGCCCGACAGCCUGUACCUGCCACUCAUCUCUGAUUCCUCCGGAGAGGUGUUCGCCAAUAACAAGCUAUCUCACUUUCGAGUCCAACUGCAGACGCCCCUGUAUCUAGGUGAAUCAGACUGGGAGUGCGGAUUGGCUGAAGUAAUUUGGCCCCCUGAUGGGAAGAAGAGGAAACAUCGGGCCAGCACUCCUGCGGGGAACGUCGACGAAGCAGCACGUGCGUCCUCAUCUGCGAGUCGCCACCAUGAUGCCGCCAUCGCGACGUCUACUGACCCCAUUGUUGGCGAGGACGAGCCUCAUGGCAGCACGCAGACGGAGACGCAGCAGAAAGACGACGAGAGCAUCGGCGCCCCUCAGGGGAAGAGGUCCGAAGUGCUCCAGCGCGGUGCGCCACCGCCCUCGUCGUCUGCGGAGACGACAGCCCCGUCUGCGGUGAGCCCCACCGAAGCUGGACGCCCUGCGCGGCUCCCUCGCGCUGUAGUGGGUGGAUCCCGUGCAUUUAUCUACUGUGACCUUAUUCGCCCAUCCCUCUGCUCGGACUUUAAAGGAAAAUGCCUUCGCAUCCUGCCCCUUAACCUGGACACUAGACAGCAGGUACUUUACCCUGUGUACUACUUCCCCAUCGAAAAGAGAGUGAUUGAUACUAUUUAUAUAGAAGUGAAGGACAAGCACAACGAGUAUCUGAACUUUGCGCCCAGCGAACACCCGCUGGUGCUCGUACUGCACAUCAAACGCUCCGCAGUCGCAUCGUAGCCGAGGAGUGAGAAGGAGGUCUCGUCACAGCCGCCAUUAUGGAACACGUUAAUCCCUUCUACGCCUACUACGUGGCUCAACAACAGCAAGGCGCUGGAUCGGCGUUACCUUACUACAGCUCGCGAUUUCGUGUUCAAGCGGGCCGUGGUUGGUUCGGCAAUCUUCUGCGCAGUGCGUGGAGGUACCUCAGCCCACUUGCAAGCAGUGCUGCAAAGCAUGCUGGGGCCGCAGCCUUUAGUGUCGGCUCCGAUAUGAUGAAGGAAGCUGUAAACAACCCCGGUGAAUCUAUGAAGAAUAUCAUCAAGCGCCAAGGCAAAGAAGGACUCACGCAGAUCGCGAAGGCAGCGCUCAACGGGGCCCGUCAAUCUGGCUCAGGACGCCGCGGGAAGCGUCGUCAGUUGGCUUCCAGACGCCGCCCAGCAAAGGCUGCUCCCGCCCGCACCAGCAUCCAGAAGCGUGGACACCGCCAGCGCCGUCCGCAGCCCCUGCCCAACGCAUCAUCCAUCCGAGACAUUUUCUCCCCACCAUCGCCAUGAGCUCGGAACUGGAGCCCUGCAUGAUAAAUCAGCUUGAUCUGUUUCGCAAGAAGCCGGUGCAGUCAUGCAUUACGGGACGCAUGGUGCAAAAAGUGAAGCCCCUGUCGGCUAUACCAGAGGUCCCAGAUGUGAUUGAGUUCAUGUGUCCCGGGCGGCCGCUGCACUAUAUGGACAUAAAUAAUAUAGCCCUGCGACUAAGUGUGUCAAUGGUGUGGGCUGAUGACAAUGUUCUUCGUGCCGAUCAAAAUGAUAUAGGUGUUAUUGACAAUCUCCUGCAUUCAUUCUUCAGUCAGUGUGAAGUGUACCUGUCUGAACAGCCCGUUACAAAGUCUCCUCAUCUAUAUCAUUACAAGGCCCUACUAGAUCUACACACGACGAGUGAUGAGAAUGCUAGAAAGGGUAUGCUGUCAACUUUGUUGUAUGUGCCUGACGCGAAUGCAACCACAUCAAAGGCAGCGUGGGACGAGCGACAGCUGGCAUUCAGGGAAUCUAAAAAGGUUGAACUGAUUGGCAAGAUUCGCCCUGAUGUAUGUUAUUUGGAAGACGGUGCUUACAUACUAGAUCAAGUGCCAAUCCGCGUACGCCUUACGCUCAAUACUCCUGAAAUCUACAUGGAUUCAAACGACGCGGGAAGCUGGGGCAAAAUCCGAUUUCAUGAUGCGGAGCUGCACAUCCCCUACUAUAUUGCUAACCCAGAACUGAGUCUUGGUGUGGAGCAAAUGCUAAGCCACCAAAGUGCUCAAUAUAGAUAUAAAUCGACGAUGUUGAAGACUUUCCUUCAUCCAACGGGCUCUGUGAACUUGAACAUACCAGUGGCGUUCUCUGGCAAGUUACCAACGUCUAUUCUGCUCACUGCCGUUAAAGCAUCUCACUUUAACGGCACCAAAACGUCGAGUCCCUUCGAGUUCCAACACUGUGGUUUUACGGAGAUAUCAUUCAUAUGUAACGGUAACGAGCGAAGAUAUGUCAUGGACAUGAGCAGUCCCUAUGGCUGUACGUCUCUCUUAAGAAGCCUCUACACUGAACUGGGGAUGGACUAUGAGGAAGGCAGUGGAAAUGUGUAUAAUGUGAGAAACAUACGCGAUGGCGCGUUUGCGUGUGCGGUCGACUUAACUGUCGAUCGCUCAGGAACGGGACCGAGCCAAAACAUUCAAGAAUACGGGACCGUGUCAGUGCAAGGAAGGUUGUCAGCAGCUCUUAAUGAAGCAGUAUGCAUCAUUCUGUACGCCAAGUUUGACAGCACCCUAGAAAUAAACGCCAGUCGCGAGGUGACCGUACUGUAAUAAGCAUGAAGGACUACAGCUCGCCGACGACGACUCUGGACCUGACAGCGGCUGCUAAGGCCCACCCGACCCUGCGACGAUUCCACAUCGGCACCUUCCCGCUGGACGCCCUCGCCGGCCUCAACGUCGCUGGACGGCCCCGCCAUCUUAUCUACAAUGAAUCACCGUCAACCCGACCGCCCGGCACCCACUGGGUGUCCAUAUGGCUCACAAAGGACUUCAAGGCGGAGGUCAUGAACAGCCUAGGUCGGCGGCCCCUAGCACCCGAAGUCAUUGGCUUUGUUCGGAGAAACAGCGCAAGUGCAGUGUACUCUGAUCGACAGAUUCAAAACUGGAUUAGCAAUGUAUGUGGCCUUUACUGUCUUAGUCAUGGGCUGGCCCGAGCACGAGGAUGCAGCCUGGAGUCCUGGAUGAGGCAGUUCUCGGAUCGGCUGGCUGAUAACGAUGACCUCGUGCAGUGCCAGUUCAUGAGGGAGCUUGCCAUCCCCUCCAUGUUCUCCCCCUCUCUUCGGAACUGGAAGAAACAGGUAGAACGUGCGUGCCACAACGUCAGUCUGCGCCGUGAACUUAAUCUGGCAGGAUGGCAUCGAUCCAGGACGCGCACGUCAGUACCACCAGCGGUGCCGGCGACAGCAGCAGCAACACGCCGUGCCAGGAGGCGUACGAGACCGCCAUGUGCUUCAUCGCGGACGAGGAGGCUAUUGCCACCACCACGGACACCCACGCCCUGUUCCAGACCUACCUAGCCAGUAUGUCUGAGCAGGACAUCCAGGAACAACAGCAGCAACAGCAACAGCUAGCGGAGCAGCAGCAGCAGCAGCAACAACAACAACAGGUGCAGCAGCAGCCGAACGAGGAGGAUGGUUCACCCAAGCCGUCAAGGAAACGUGCUCGUAAACAGACCCAUCCCCGGCCCAUCAAACCCGUAGACAUCAGAGUGAAGAGGCAGCGAAAGGAGCGUCCCACUGUUAGCGGUCUUCCUGCUGGGCAGCCAGCAGCAGCAGCAGCAGCAGCGUCAAUCAAGCCAAAACGAAAAAAGCAGCGACAAGAUAAACAGCAGCAGCCGAUGCCAGCACUGCAACCACCCCCUCCACCUGUGCAGCAGCACCAAUCAGGCGGGUCCGUGUGUCCCCAUAUUGAAAGACUGUGUCAGCUGCUCCAUGUGUCGUCUGGGGCCCAAAUGUGUCCAAGAAAUCUCUCAAGUUCUAAAUGAGUGUAGUCGCGUCGUGUGUGUGUGUGUGUGUGUGUGUGUGUUUGUAUGUUCAUGAAUAUUAAUAAAGAGAGAGAUGUUCAACUGAGCUAGUUGUAUUUUAUCAUUACUCUCUAUUUCCAUUUAAUUAUCAACUGUAUAUUCAUGGGGCAAGAUGA